GCAGGUGAUUUUACGCGCAGCCGCUGCACGCUGAGGGAAAACAGAGAGUGUCAUAACGGGGCUUGAUUACACGCUCAGAGGAUGGUGGCGGAGAUGGCGAGCUGCCGGGCCGCUUGCCACCUGGAGGACGGAGACGGAGAUAUCCCUGCAGCUGAAAACAAAGAUACUCUGAGAGAAAGUGACGGCAGCGGUUCAGGUAAGCAGUGUAACCUUUGUGGCAUUAAUCCCUUCUACUCAUGGGAAAUUCUGACAUGCAUGUUGAUUUAUAUUAAACAGAGAAUGCUGGAACGUCCACUGAAGAGAGCUCAGAGGAUGAAGAGGAGGAUGAGGAGUCUGGUGAGAGAAAAUUGAUACCACUCUCACACACAUUCACAUACUACUGUUAAAUACAGACAUGGUUCAAUCUUCUCAUUCAACUCAUGAUAAACUGGUUAUGGUUGAACUACUCCUUUAGUUUUUCUUUCUGUUACUCACCUGCCCUUUGUUUAUUAUGUUUCACCAGAAUGCUGUGCAGAGAAGGAUGGAGAAGAGGAAGGUCAGAACCACACCUCCUGUACUUACUGUGCGCCUCAAACUUAAAGGGACAAUUCUGCUCAAAGUCAAAUAUUCUUAUAUUUUUAUGCACUGUUACAGCAUGUUUAGUUUGAUGAGCUAUCGGCCUACAGUACAUAUUCCACCUUGGGGUGAUCUGUCCCUUUAUGCAUUUUAAAAAGUAUGAAGUAAGCCCUGCUGGAAUCAUUUUAGUAAACGUGUAUCUUCCCUGUUUUCAGAGAACGAAGAGGCUGAAGCAGAAGAGUCUAUAAAUGGUAAGAUAACAAAACAAAAAACAGAUUUGGCAAAGGAAAAAAAAAAAAGAAGAAAAAUCUCUGCUUGUUGUUUCUUGCAGUCUGUCAUGUCUCCUGCUUGUAGGCGUUGCCAUGUUUUUGGUUGUAACUGAGCCACAACCACAUCGUAAUGGCUCUCCUCUCAUACUAUGUAAUUAUGCGACAAAAUGUCUGCUGACGUUUUUGGAGCUCAGAAUUGAAUUUAAAAUGUAGCCUGAGCCUGUCCAGGCCUCACACACAAAUAUAAACACUGCUACAGCACGUUUAGUUUUUUUUUUUUUUUUUAGUUUGUUCAGAGCUUCUCACAAAGCAUCUGUCUCACCUUAUAGGGACAGUUUCUGGACCUGAAGCAGAGGUUUUAAAUGGACGAGGUGAGCUGAUCAUUACUGAUGCACUGCAAGAGUACUGGAGAAAAAACAUGAUCAGUCUUGUAAAUUCUGUUUGUCCUGACAGAUGAGAGGGACUUUAAAAUAAGCUGUGAAAAAUGCAAAGCCAUCCAACAGGUGAGGAAGGAACUACAUAAUCUG
rnacentral:lncRNA from 1 species